UAAGCCAAUUAUUGCGUCGCUCGUAUGAAAAUUGUGCGAUUUGCGUCGGCGGCUCCCCACAUUACUGAUGAGCCUCUUCCAGCUAAUGGAAUAAUGAAAACACAAAACAGAUUUGCCGUGCUUAAUAACAGGAGGAGAUAAUGAAGGCAAAUUAAAAUGAAAGCUCGGAUCUGCAUGGAGAACGGUGGUGUACAUCUCAGCACACAGCUGCAAGCCCAUUUCUCAACCUUGAUUUUCCCCAAACCAGGAGGAACCCUUCUUUUCCAUCAAAAUGCCCAGAGUGCUUCAGGCUGAAUUCUGAUACAGAGAUCCUGGAUUCCUUGGAGCUUCCUGUUAGAAAUGUUCUGGAAGCCGUAUUUUACACGGCCUUUUAAUUUUCACGAGCCAAUAAAUU